GACGAACGCUGGCGGCGUGCUUAACACAUGCAAGUCGAACGGAAAGGCCCUGCUUUUGUGGGGUGCUCGAGUGGCGAACGGGUGAAUAACACGUGAGUAACCUGCCCUUGACUUUGGGAUAACUUCAGGAAACUGGGGCUAAUACCGGAUAGGAGCUCCUGCUGCAUGGUGGGGGUUGGAAAGUUUCGGCGGUUGGGGAUGGACUCGCGGCUUAUCAGCUUGUUGGUGGGGUAGUGGCUUACCAAGGCUUUGACGGGUAGCCGGCCUGAGAGGGUGACCGGCCACAUUGGGACUGAGAUACGGCCCAGACUCCUACGGGAGGCAGCAGUGGGGAAUAUUGCACAAUGGGCGGAAGCCUGAUGCAGCGACGCCGCGUGCGGGAUGACGGCCUUUGGGUUGUAAACCGCUUUCGCCUGUGACGAAGCGUGAGUGACGGUAAUGGGUAAAGAAGCACCGGCUAACUACGUG
rnacentral:rRNA from 1 species